CCUGCGGAAGGAUCAUUACCGAGUGCGGGUCCUCGUGGCCCAACCUCCCACCCGUGACUAUUGUACCUUGUUGCUUCGGCGGGCCCGCCAGCCCUGCUGGCCGCCGGGGGGCGUCUCGCCCCCGGGCCCGUGCCCGCCGGAGACCCCAACAUGAACCCUGUUCUGAAAGCUUGCAGUCUGAGUGUGAUUCUUUGCAAUCAGUUAAAACUUUCAACAAUGGAUCUCUUGGUUCCGGCAUCGAUGAAGAACGCAGCGAAAUGCGAUAACUAAUGUGAAUUGCAGAAUUCAGUGAAUCAUCGAGUCUUUGAACGCACAUUGCGCCCCCUGGUAUUCCGGGGGGCAUGCCUGUCCGAGCGUCAUUGCUGCCCUCAAGCCCGGCUUGUGUGUUGGGUCCUCGUCCCCCGGCUCCGGGGGACGGGCCCGAAAGGCAGCGGCGGCACCGCGUCCGGUCCUCGAGCGUAUGGGGCUUUGUCUUCCGCUCUGCAGGCCCGGCCGGCGCCCGCCGGCGCAAUUUUUUGCAACCUUUUAUUUUUCCAGGUUGACCUCGGAUCAGGUAGGGAUACCCGCUGAACUUAAGCAUAUCAAUAAGGCGGAGGAAGUGCGGGUCCUCGUGGCCCAACCUCCACGUGACUAUUGUACCUUGUUGCUUCGGCGGGCCCGCGCUGCUGGCGCGGGGGGCGUCUCGCCCCGGGCCGUGCCGCGGGAGACCAACAUGAACCUGUUCUGAAAGCUUGCAGUCUGAGUGUGAUUCUUUGCAAUCAGUUAAAACUUUCACAAUGG
rnacentral:rRNA from 1 species